rnacentral:rRNA from 1 species
UACGUAGGGUGCGAGCGUUAAUCGGAAUUACUGGGCGUAAAGCGUGCGCAGGCGGGUCGUCGUGUCUGAUGUGAAAUCCCCGGGCUCAACCUGGGAAUGGCAUUGGAAACUGGCGAACUAGAGUGUGGCAGAGGGGGGUGGAAUUCCGCGUGUAGCAGUGAAAUGCGUAGAUAUGCGGAGGAACACCGAUGGCGAAGGCAAUCCCCUGGGCCUGCACUGACGCUCAUGCACGAAAGCGUGGGGAGCAAACAGG